rnacentral:snRNA from 1 species
AUCACUUCAGCCUUUUGGCUGAGAUCAGGUAACUGUUCUCAACAGUUUAAUACCUGAUACAUUCUCUAUCCAAGGACAAUAUGGUAAAUGAAUUUUGGAACUGGGAGAGAGUAGGAGUUCACUCCAUCUCCUCCAUGCAUCUGCCUGGUAUUGUAGUACCUCCAGGAACUAUGGGACCCCU